AAGGUUACUCCCUUGUUCGUUAUAGCCUUCAUCUUAUUAUAUUAAAGGUUACUCCCUUGUUCGUUAUAGCCUUCAUCUUAUUAUAUUAAAGGUUACUCCCUUGUUCGUUAUAGCCUUCAUCUUAUUAUAUUAAAGGUUACUCUCUUGUUCGUUAUAGCCUUCAUCUUAUUAUAUUAAAGGUUACUCCCUUGUUCGUUAUAGCCUUCAUCUUAUUAUAUUAAAGGUUACUCUCUUGUUCGUUAUAGCCUUCAUCUUAUUAUAUUAAAGGUUACUCUCUUGUUCGUUAUAGCCUUCAUCUUAUUAUAUCAAAGGUUACUCCCUUGUUCGUUAUAGCCUUCAUCUUAUUAUAUCAAAGGUUACUCCCUUGUUCGUUAUAGCCUUCAUCUUAUUAUAUUAAA